rnacentral:rRNA from 1 species
GAUGAACGCUGGCGGCGUGCCUAAUACAUGCAAGUCGAGCGAACAGACGAGGAGCUUGCUCCUCUGACGUUAGCGGCGGACGGGUGAGUAACACGUGGAUAACCUACCUAUAAGACUGGGAUAACUUCGGGAAACCGGAGCUAAUACCGGAUAAUAUAUUGAACCGCAUGGUUCAAUAGUGAAAGACGGUUUUGCUGUCACUUAUAGAUGGAUCCGCGCCGCAUUAGCUAGUUGGUAAGGUAACGGCUUACCAAGGCAACGAUGCGUAGCCGACCUGAGAGGGUGAUCCGCCACACUGGAACUGAGACACGGUCCAGACUCCUACGGGAGGCAGCAGUAGGGAAUCUUCCGCAAUGGGCGAAAGCCUGACGGAGCAACGCCGCGUGAGUGAUGAAGGUCUUCGGAUCGUAAAACUCUGUUAUUAGGGAAGAACAAAUGUGUAAGUAACUAUGCACGUCUUGACGGUACCUAAUCAGAAAGCCACGGCUAACUACG